UACGGGGGGGGCAAGCGUUGUUCGGAAUUACUGGGCGUAAAGGGCUCGUAGGCGGCCAACUAAGUCAUACGUGAAAUCCCUCGGCUUAACCGGGGAACUGCGUCUGAUACUGGAUGGCUUGAGUUCGGGAGAGGGAUGCGGAAUUCCAGGUGUAGCGGUGAAAUGCGUAGAUAUCUGGAGGAACACCGGUGGCGAAGGCGGCAUCCUGGACCGACACUGACGCUGAGGCGCGAAAGCGUGGGGAGCAAACAGG
rnacentral:rRNA from 1 species